CAUAUUUAAUUUCUUUUCCUCUUUUUUUUUCUUCUUGGGUGGGUGGGUGGGGGGAGCUUGGAGCUGUCUUAAUCUGUAUUCUCUUAACUGAACAAUAAAUUUUUAAAUAUAUAUAUAUUUAUAUAUAUAUAGUUUCCUCUAUUAAACACUUAAACCUGGCCAUCUUAUUAACUCCUUUCUCUCUCUUUUUUUUUUAACAAGGUAAUGUUUUAAAUGUAAUAGUUUUAGAACUAGCGAAAUGGCAGCAACAAAAUAACUGUAAACAGUUGUUACUCUUUUUUUAAGUUUUUUUAAAAAACCUUUUACAUUGUAAGUACCCAGUCCAUUCUGUCCUUAUGCCUUACGCAGUGCAGUUUUCAUGUUCAUGUUGCUGAGAUAUCCUUAAUUUUCUGAGCCUUCGUCUGCAUGUCUGUCUUUGUCGCUCUUGUCUAACAAUAAGCCAGCUAAGAAUGCUUUUAGACGAUGUUGCUUUUUAUCAAGCUAAGGCUUUAGCUUUUGAAGCGUUUGGAACUGUUUAUAGCCAUAAAUGCCAGUCAGCUUUCUUCCCAGUAACAUGGACACUCUCUCUGAAAAUCGAUCUGUUUGGAGGAAAACAGCUCUGGGUUUGUUUUUUUUCCCUGUUUCUUUUUUUUCUUUUUCUUUCUGGUCUGGAUGGAGGGGUGGGCGAGAGAAAGGGAAGACCUCUUUGUGUAGAGAGACGAAAAGCCGUCACAGGAAACUAGAUUAAAACUGGAAAGCAAGUCCUGGCUGGUGCGAGCCAAACACCAACGUUUAACUCGUGGGUAUUUGCUAUGGAGGUUGGGACGGCCGCGUGUCUCUUUGCCUUUUGUUUGAUUUGAUUGUGUGUUUUCGCCUUUUGUCUCUUAAUGACGGUCCCACCAUGGCCACAGCCAGAGCAGUAAACAGCCCUCAGCGAAGCCGCCUUCUGCCAACCCAGCCCUGGGAAGGUCACCGCAGUGGAAGGAGCAGAACAGGCCCUGAGAGUUAACUGACAGAAAGCUUGCUUUCCAGACUCCAUGGCACCGGGCUGAACGGGCUCUUGGCCAGAGACGCGGUGCUCCCAGAACGGACCGUCCUCCUCUGGGCAGCAGGAGCGGGCCCAGUGUGGCCCUGACAGUGCUCUCCUGAGGAAUUCCUGGUGAAUAAGAGAAGAAUGACAUGGGUCCCCAGAACAUCUCCCAGGUAAGGAAGCAGGGCCCCCCGGCUUGUGCGAGUGCCCAGCUCAGCUGGCCUGCCCUGGCCCUGCCACCUCGGAGGAAGCCUGCACAGCUGGCCUGGCUGCUGGGUAUUUUUAGCUUCAGAUCCAGCCCCUACACCACCCUGGAGCUGGGUCCAAAUCAAACAUGCUCCAUGCUGGCUGGGGCUGGGUUCUGCCAGCCUCUUGGCCAGGCAGGGGUGGGUGGGCGGGCGGGCGGGCAGGCAGGCGGGCUGGGGCCAGUGUCAGCUGUUCUGCCUGGACCCAGACGGGGCUGGACAGACUCUCCCUUCCUCUCCCCUUCCUCUCAGUCUUGUGUACGUUGUGUGUUCUGUCAUAAGUUAAAAUUGCAGCCCCGUUUCUCAGAUGGAAAGUGGAAACUGAGGAGUGAGGAUUUUGAGGACAGUCGGGAGCCCUCCCACAGGCCUGUUUGCUAAGAGUGGGGUGACCUUUCUACGGGAAUGCUCCCCCAGCCGCUCCCAGAUGAAAGAGCAUUCCCCCCCCUCUGACUCUCCCAGGCCCUCCUCCCUACACUUAGGGUCCUUGCUUUAGGGUCACUGCUGCAGCAGGCCUGAGAUGAGAAGGUUGCAAAGAUAUGUGGUUCUCCUUCCUUCAAAACCUCCUUCCAUCCUCCCCUGCCUCCUGUGGGCCUUUCUGACAUGUGUCUGGACCCGGUCUGUUCUGCCAACUUCAGGCUGCCUCACCAGCCAGUCAUAGCUCCUCUGAAGAGAGCCUGAGUGUCCAGCUUUGGCUGGGCCAGUUCAGGAGCCUUCUGUCCAGCGCCCCCUGCUUGAGCCUGACAGCUAGGCCCUCUGUGGGCUCACCCUGGUAACCUUGACAACAGCGUCUGGCCUCCAUCCUCACUCCCCAGCCACUGCCAAACCUGCUGAGGUUUUCCAGCCACCGUGUAUCUGCCCAGGCUGGGUACCCAUCUGGCCUGCCCUCCCAACACUGCCAAGCUUAGUUCAUGUACCAGCCAGCUCUCAACCUCCUCUGAGCUCCUUACAGGUGGUAACACAAUUCCCCUCAAUAAACUUGUAUUGAAAAAAAAAAAAAAUGAAUGAGUUGCUGUAAAUUUUUCUGAGGGUGCUUGACCCAGCUGAUGCCACCAACAAACUGAAACAGCUUUCACUUGCCUGCUCUUCCCAGCUCUGGCUCUUGGGGUUUCCACGGGCGGUCACUGCUGCCCUCUGGUGGUCAGACCCUGCCUUGCAUCCGCUGGGGGAAAAAACCGACCCUGCCUUUAUGCAACUGCCAGGUUGGCAAUUUCCUGCCUGAAGUAAAGUUUACCUCAUCUUUGCUCA